rnacentral:lncRNA from 1 species
GCCGGUUUCCGGUCUGCGGCCGCCCCCGUCCCCGCCUUUGUCCGCCCACGAGAGCCGUUCGGGUCCGACGGAGGCUCCCCGCUGGCAGGCCGGCUCGCCCGCCCUCCGCGCGUCCUCUCGGGCCAGCGCGCGUCCCCGCCUGCUGGACGGUCCGGGCGGCGGGCUGCUGAGCGCGGGCCGGGACCGCCUUCCUCGGCGUCCUCGCGGUGAGCUCCCGCCGGCGCCCCCCGCGGCUCUGCAGCUGGGGAGUCCGCCCUGCGCCCCGCUCCAGGCCGGCUUCGCUCCAGGCCGGCGGCGCGGCGCUGGCGGCGGUGUUGCAGGUCCCAGGGUGAGACUGUUGGAGAAAGCAACGGAAGGAAGAGCCUCUCUCAAGUUGCCACCCAGCCUGAGAGCCCCCUGA